rnacentral:rRNA from 2 species
ACGGGGGAAACCUGCCCAGGGGCGGUGGAUAACACGUGGAAACGGAUGCUAAUACCGCGUAACAAGUUGGACCGCAUGGCCCGAGGUUGGAAGAUGGCUGCGGCUAUCACUUGUGGAUGGUCCCGCGGCGUAUUAGCUAGAUGGUGGGGUAACGGCUCACCAUGAGCAAUGAUACGUAGCCGACCUGAGAGGGUAAUCGGCCACAUUGGGACUGAGACACGGCCCAAACUCCUACGGGAGGCAGCAGUAGGGAAUCUUCCACAAUGGACGAAAGUCUGAUGGAGCAACGCCGCGUGAGUGAAGAAGGGUUUCGGCUCGUAAAACUCUGUUGUUAAAGAAGAACAUAUCUGAGAGUAACUGUUCAGGUAUUGACGGUAUUUAACCAGAAAGCCACGGCUAACUACGUGCCAGCAGCCGCGGUAAUACGUAGGUGGCAAGCGUUGUCCGGAUUUAUUGGGCGUAAAGCGAGCGCAGGCGGUUUUUUAAGUCUGAUGUGAAAGCCUUCGGCUCAACCGAAGAAGUGCAUCGGAAACUGGGAAACUUGAGUGCAGAAGAGGACAGUGGAACUCCAUGUGUAGCGGUGAAAUGCGUAGAUAUAUGGAAGAACACCAGUGGCGAAGGCGGCUGUCUGGUCUGUAACUGACGCUGAGGCUCGAAAGUAUGGGUAGCAAACAGGAUUAGAUACCCUGGUAGUCCAUACCGUAAACGAUGAAUGCUAAGUGUUGGAGGGUUUCCGCCCUUCAGUGCUGCAGCUAACGCAUUAAGCAUUCCGCCUGGGGAGUACGGCCGCAAGGCUGAAACUCAAAGGAAUUGACGGGGGCCCGCACAAGCGGUGGAGCAUGUGGUUUAAUUCGAAGCUACGCGAAGAACCUUACCAGGUCUUGACAUACUAUGCAAAUCUAAGAGAUUAGACGUUCCCUUCGGGGACAUGGAUACAGGUGGUGCAUGGUUGUCGUCAGCUCGUGUCGUGAGAUGUUGGGUUAAGUCCCGCAACGAGCGCAACCCUUAUUAUCAGUUGCCAGCAUUAAGUUGGGCACUCUGGUGAGACUGCCGGUGACAAACCGGAGGAAGGUGGGGAUGACGUCAAAUCAUCAUGCCCCUUAUGACCUGGGCUACACACGUGCUACAAUGGAUGGUACAACGAGUUGCGAACUCGCGAGAGUAAGCUAAUCUCUUAAAGCCAUUCUCAGUUCGGAUUGUAGGCUGCAACUCGCCUACAUGAAGUCGGAAUCGCUAGUAAUCGCGGAUCAGCAUGCCGCGGUGAAUACGUUCCCGGGCCUUGUACACACCGCCCGUCACACCAUGAGAGUUUGUAACACCCAAAGUCGGUGGGGUAACCUUU